rnacentral:lncRNA from 1 species
GGGCGUGUUUGAGUUGAAUAUUUUGUCUUGAAAACGUACAAAGCAAGAAUAUUUGAUACAUCAUCUCGCUUCAGAUUCUAUCAUAUUUAUAUAUCAAACCUACAGGUUGAAUUUAUAACAUACAAAAAUCACAGUACUAAAAGAUGAAAUAUAUGGGUCAAGUGAAAUACCUUUCUAAUGAAUCAUAAAAACAGAGUAGGUGUGUUCGAAU